AGGUCAUUUUGAGGACAGUUUCUCAAUAAACUCUCGUACCUCUCCCAUCCUUCAUAGAGUGACUCUCCUCCCAUUUGUUCAAAAUUGGUAAUCGCCUUCUUCAUCUU